rnacentral:rRNA from 1 species
UACGUAGGGGGCAAGCGUUGUUCGGAAUUACGGGGCGUAAAGGGCGCGUAGGCGGCAUGGCAAGUCGGGAGUGAAAGCCCGGGGCUCAACCCCGGAACGGCUUUCGAAACUGCCAGGCUAGAGUACGGAAGGGGCAACUGGAAUUUCCAGAGUAGCGGUGAAAUGCGUAGAUAUUGGGAAGAACACCGGAGGCGAAGGCGGGUUGCUGGGCCGAUACUGACGCUGAGGCGCGAAAGCCAGGGGAGCAAACGGG